CAGCUGGGAAGGGAUAUCCAUGUGAAAGCUGUAACAUAGUACUGAACUCCAUAGAGCAGUACCAAGCUCACAUCAGCGGCUUCAAACACAAGAACCAGUAAGUGUUUAAAUAUUCUUCUGUCUGUAGUAGCUACAUUGUAUAACCUGCCACUGAAUAGGAAGCAUUGUCUCGCAUCUGGUUUAUAGUCUGGAUUUUUACCCAAAAAAAAUUCAGAUUCAUCUGCAGGCAGCUCUAAUGUUUAAAAGGUCUAUUUUGCUACUUAUGUACCAAAGGUAAUAAGCUGAAAAAAGAUUUAGAAAUCUGGUCAAAUUUGAAGCUUUCACUGUUGGGUCGUAUUGCUGUGAUAAAAAUGAAUGUAUUGCCUAGAAUGCUGUUUUUGUUUCAAACAUUGCAAAUUGUGGACAAGAUGGACUGUUUCAAGAAGUGGCAGAGAGAUAUUUCUAGAUUUGUCUGGCAGGGCAAGAAGCCCAGAAUAAAAUUUAAGAUAUUAACUGAUGCAAAGGAAAGGGGUGGAUUUGCCCUGCCAGACAUUAAACUUUACUAUGAAUCAGCAGCUUUUUGCUGGUUGAAAGAAUGGCUACUUCUUGAAAACACAGACAUUUUGGACUUAGAAGGUUUUAACAAUGUAUUUGGAUGGCAUGCAUAUCUGUGGUAUGACAAGGUUAAAGCGCAUAAAGCAUUUAAAAACCAUAUUGUCAGGAAAGCACUGUUUAAGGUUUGGAUAAGAUACAAGGAUUUGUUGGAAAACAAAACCCCAAGGUGGCUGUCACCGAUGGAAGCGAAAGCUCUGAAAAGGCUCAAUAUGGAGGCCAAUUGGCCGAAAUAUUGGGAAAUUUUGGAACAAGUUGGAGAUAGACUGAAACUGCAGAGUUUUGAGAAACUAAAAAAUAAAGUGCGAGACUGGCUUCAUUAUUAUCAGAUAAUGGAGGCAUAUAAUUUGGACAAGAAAAUUGGCUUCCAGGUGGAAAAAUCAAAAUUAGAAACAGAACUGUUAGAACCCAAAACUAAGAAUUUGUCAAGAAUGUAUAACUUGCUGUUGAAAUGGAAUACUCAGGAUGAAACGGUGAAAUCUGCUAUGAUUAAAUGGGCACAAGAUGUUGGACAUAAUAUUAUGUUUGCUGACUGGGAACAGUUAUGGACCACAGGUAUGAAGUUUACGGCAUGUAAUGUUCUAAGAGAAAAUAUUAUGAAAAUGAUAUACAGGUGGUACAUGACCCCAGUCAAGCUUGCAAAAAUCUACCAUUUGCCCGACAAUAAAUGCUGGAAAUGUAAAGAAACUGAAGGUACAUUCUUUCACCUUUGGUGGACGUGCCCAAGGAUUAAGGCCUUCUGGGAAAUGAUAUAUAAUGAACUGAAAAGGUAUUUAAACAUACCUUCUCGAAGAAACCAGAGGCCUUUCUCCUGGGCAUAGUCGGCCAAUUGGUGCCAAUGAAGGACAGAACUUUUUUUAUGUAUGCCACAACAGCAGCAAGAAUACUCAUUGCAAAGUAUUGGAAGACACAAGAUCUACCCACUCUGGAAGAAUGGCAGAUGAAGGUGAUGGACUAUAUGGAACUGGCAGAAAUGACUGGCAGAAUCCGAGACCAGGGAGAAGAGUCGGUGGAAGAAGAUUGGAAGAAAUUCAAAGAUUAUCUACAGAAAUAUUGUAAAAUUAAUGAAUGUUAGGAUGAUGUUGGAUAGUAAUUAAGUGGUUUCCAGCUGUAAUGCUUUAAGGGAAUAUGAAAAAAGGGUUAUAAAUAGGUAAAAAUUUAAUAUUAUUACUUUUAAAGGAUUUGCUGAACCAACAGAUUGAAGUGGAAUACAAAAAAGGGAGGUAUGAGGAGGUCCGGGAAAUAAGUCAAAGGAAAAUAAGUAAUGGAAAAUCUGUGUGUUUUUAACUAUUUUUAUUUUGUAUUUUUGUCAUUCCCCCCCCCAUUUUUAUUGUAAUAUUUUAAAAAAAUCUUAAUAAAUAUAUUAUUAAAAAAAAAACAAAGGUAAUAAGCAUUUUGGGGAAAGAGAGGUUUAUGAGUCAAAUGACUCAUUGCAGGUUUUCCAAAUGAUGCUGUGUGGUGUGGAUCCCCUCCACCAAAUCGAUGAAGCCAAUUUGGCAACUGUAACCUCUUAUUUGGUUUGGGCCUUGUCCUAGUAGCCUUUCCAUAGAUGUGCUUCAGACAUGUAGGGGUCAACAGCCCUCUUGACUUCUCUUGUUAUUCUGGUCAUUAGCAUCAAGUUCCUAGGUACCAUACCCAGCAUCUACUACUCAAAGUUCUGUUUUUUUUGUUUGUUUGUUUGUUUCACCUAAGCGCUUUUAAUUUUGAUAAAGUUUGUAGAGAAAUUUUGAAAAAAAACUUCCAAUAUAUGUCGCUGUCAAAUGGGUACAGGUUUUCUUGGAGAACUC